CUUAUACUCCAUUCGUCCGGAAUUACUUCUCGCACAAAUGUAUACAAAUGGAUGUAUUUAGAAUUAAAAUACAUCUAGAUACAUCCAUUCCUAUGACAAGUAUUUCCGGACGGAGGGAGUAUUUA
rfam:Hordeum vulgare subsp. vulgare, WGS project CAJW01000000 data, contig: morex_contig_887572